UUUAGUCCUACGAUGAUGUAAAAGAUUCUUUCUCUUUGAAGUCUUCAAGUAUACAAUGACGAAAACAGUUUCUUGCAAUGUACCUGCUGUUAUCAUGGCCUUCACUGAAUGAAUCCUUCAUUUUUCUUCCUGUGGGACUUGCCCGAAACUGGACCGGGUUUGCCGUCGAUGCACUGUUAUGCAGAUUGAAUAACCUAUGUCAGUUACAAUUCUUAUGAUUGGUAUCGAAGACAUAAUUUAGGUACGAUGAUUGUACUGCGACUUUUAUGCAGGCCUGCUUGCCUUAGUUUCCUUUUCAUUUGCACAAUCUUCUGAGUGAUUGUGCCCUUCUGUUUAGCAUUUAUAUUCAACAACAAAAGGGGACUUUAUAAAUUACCUGAAAU
rnacentral:lncRNA from 1 species